CUAGACCUUGCAGUAAGUAGCAUGCCCGGAGAUCUUAGCCAGUGGAUAAUGAAGCAUGAUGACCCUGAGAUUUCGCAGAUAGUUAAUCCAGGAAGGGGGAAGAUACUUGUAGAUACCGCAAGUGUCUGUAGGAUAUGGGGUUUGCCCAAUAGGAGCAGGAAGGUGUGCUUCGACAAUCAGCCUGAAAUCACAAAGGCAAUGUACAAUAUUUACAACAUCCCAUCCAAGAACUCCCCAACUCUCACAGAAUGGUGCAAGAUGAUCAUAGACAUGGGAGGAUCUUAUGAUGAUGACUUUCUCCGUGCUUGGCUAGCUCUUGUUUUUUCGUGCUUCCUUGCCCCCACAACUAGUUUAAGUAUUUCCCCAAAAAUGUCAGUGGAAUAA
rnacentral:rRNA from 1 species